UCUAAUUAUAGGAUUUCUAGUAGUCAGAAGCAAGCUCUGGCUAUAUAGUUUAAUGGCUGCUUUAAUUCUCUUCAACCUAAAGGUAUGCUUGUGGAAGAUAUAUUACUAAGAGAGAAAUAUUUUUUAGUUUUGAAAACAAAGGAGGUAGAUUAAUACCAAAGGCCCAGGUGUCCUUGCUUGAGCAGGGGGUUGGACCUCCAGAGGUCCAAUCUACCUCAACUAUUCUGCAAUUCCAUGAAGUGCAACCAGGACAAGAUUAUGAAAACUGUGUUUCUGUUUAGUUCUGCUUCCACUGAGGCUUGUUUGCAUAUUCAGAGUCUUCUGAAGUUUAAAAUUCUGCCUAAUGCGUUUAAAACACAUUGAUGCUUCAGACAAAGAAUUCAGAGAAAAAUAUUUAAGUCACCAAAAAGUUAUGUUUCAAGUUUAAACUAGUGGACUAAGGUCUUUAUACCUUCAUUUGGAAAUUGAUCCUAUGUAUUUUAGAAUAGGACAAAUGGAACUGCCUGAUGCUUUUAUUUAUUUAUUUAUUUAUUUAGAGGGACCCUAUUGACUCCAUUUGAUUGAACAUCUAUAUAUUAGAUGUUUAAAGUUAAGUGAUAUGAAUCUUCUCUCAUCUGUAUAACAGCCUAUUUAAAUUAAUGACUGCUUACUAAGAUAAUUAUCUAUGCCUAUUAAAAUUUACACAUGGAAAAUCCCUGAUAGUGUAGUCAGAAAGGGUUGCUUCUUAAUUCCUUUCAGCAUUAUAAAAAAAAAAAGUUGAUGGUUAAUACCCUCCAGUGUAGUACUCAUAUUCCUAAAUUUAAAAAUCAGUUGUGAUAAGUUUUCAUGGUAUGAUGUUCAUUUAAAAAAAUAUAUAUUUGUAUGACCAGCAGUUCACAUCAAUUUAAAAUAUAUCUUAAAGGAAAAUGUUUUUCCAUACGAGUUUUUUUAUGGACGGUUGGGUAGUAUAUUUUAAAGUAUAGUGAAGAGCUAGCUAUUUAAAACCUGAAGUGACAGUGAUUCAGCAGAUGAUGCAGAGGACACACAUUACAUAUUAACAGGUGAACAGUCUUUGGGAUAGUUCAGCAACUUCUUGAUUAUAAGAUCAGUCAUGCAAAAACACAUCUGUUUUAUGUUGAUGCUAAGCAAUGCUCAGUUCUGUAACUACGCCUAACAGUUGUCUUGGUUGUGUUUCUCAAGUUUGGCUUUAUUAUCUCAAUGAGUUGAACAGUUAACUAACAUGUAGUCCAGAGCCAAACAUAAAUUUGUUCUGAAAGAUACAUUAGUCAAAUUCAAUUGUGAAUUGUCCCAACACAGCAGUACACUACACAAAGAUAAUAAUUACUAAGCUUACCCUAAAAUAGACAUCUACAGACUUGUCAGUUAAAUUAUUCUUUUGACUCUUAUGACUGUAUUGAUUUUUUUUAUUGAUUAUGGAAAGAAACCAUAUGGAUUAUGGAAGACACCUAGCUGAGUUUAGGUGUCUUAAUGUUGAACUGAAUCUCUGUCAAGACACAUUUUCUUUUCUAGAAACAUCUUAAAAGCCUAUAUUUCUUUCUCUGGUGGAAAUGACAUAAACUAUCUCAGAUCUGGAAAUCUAGACCAUAUAUGUCUCAAUCUGGGCAGAUUAGUAAACCUUUUACUUCUAUUUAAUUUAAAUACCAAUGUUGCAGAACUUCUGUAUGUAAUGUUGCCUUAUGUCUAGAGUGUUUUUAUGUGUGAAAAAUGCACACAUUUUCAGAAAACAUAGUAGCAUGUUUCUCUCUAGAUCAAGCAAAAUGCUUCCAUUCUGCUGUAGGGCUCAGGGUAUUAUUUUCUAAGAGAGAAGAUAUGGACUGUCCCCAGGUGAGCUACUUCUGUUCUUUCCUAGGACAUACUUGUAGAAAUAUAAUUGGACCUAAGGUUUGCCAGAGACUUUAAAUCCCCAGUGUAUCAUAAGCUCUGUCCUCAGAAAGAUGUGGUGGCAGGCUGUUGAACCUUAAGGGACUAAAGGACAGCUACAAGUGAAAACAUAUGGAAGAAGGUUGAUGUGUGAAGAGAAGGUGAUGUGAAGAGAAAGCAACAGACAUCUGUAGAUACAUACAAAAUACAUUUUCUUCUGUGCUCCACAAAGUUACAUACAAGGUCAAAAACUUCAGAUACCACUCUACCAUAAAUGGUAGUAUGUAUUCAUCCACUGCACAUGGUUUAUAACUUUUUUCUAAUACAUGGUGUUUAGGGCCAUCCCAAUUUUAAUUCAAUAUGUGCAUGAUAGUUUUAUGUUGAAAUUGUAUUCAUUAACAUCAUAGGUUAGGAAAAGGAGACUUGUAUUAUGUAAGUUAGUACAUCACCAAUGAUUGGCCUUCAAAAUAAAACCAUACCAUCAGGCUGCAAUUCAUCCUACUUAACUUUAGGUAUUAGCAGUACGGACAAGUAUAACUAAUGUUACCUUCCACUCUUUCUAUAGUCAGUAGAGAAAAACGGGUGCUACCAGAGAGCCAUUUGUCUGUUCUACUUCAAACAUCUACUUUUAAGUAGGAACAACUCCUUAGAAAGCCCUAUUGCCCCUUAUUGCUCAUCUAAGGAGCCAAGAUGAAAUAUCUGUGUGGUGUCUAAAUACCCAUAUUUGGACAGUGGAUCCCACAAUCAAUCAUUAUAAAUUAUUAUCUGAUUCUACUGAAAGUUUAGGUGCGGAAUUGAACUGGCUGCAGUAGGGAAUUACUUCAGUGACUUGGAAAAUGGCAAAUGAGAAAUUCCAAAUUGAAAGCAGUUUAUUGCAGCUUUUACCGCCUUUUAACAGUACGGUAUAUUUAAUUCUCUGUUAAUGUUUUAAAGGCAUUUAUGUUUCUUGCACAUCAAUAUAUCUUGAACUGACAGUUUUUUUCCACUUACUCAAAUGUGCUCUAAAUGUGCUUUGACCCCCCCUCCCCCCCAAGACCCUAGUGGCUCUUUUGGACACAUCUCUCAAACCCUUAAAAAAGAACCCCAUGAGAAAAUUCCCUCACCCUGGCAUAAAUAACACCAGUAUAAAGUAUGGAGCUAUUGAUUGCUUAUAACUGCAUCUUUUGAACAUUCAGAGCCAUUGUGUUCACAACACAUGAUGAAUGCACUUGCAGAUGGCUUUGUCUGUUGUGGUCGUAAACUCCAGUUAAUGGCUGAAUUAAUCUAUAGUAAAUGAAAAAUAUCCUUUCUGACUCUUCCAGGGAAUAAACUAGUUGUAGUUUUAUUUCUGUCUCUCUCUCUCAAAAAAAAAAAAAAAAAAAAGUAAAAAAAAAAAAAGUCAGUAUU